UCAUUUAUUGCACUUUAAUACAGUGAUAGGAAAUAGGGUGAGGAAUCCUUACUUGUUUUUGGGGUCUGAAUACAGCUCUACAGUGCGCCUACAGGCUGUCCCUAAUUUUCCCUGAAUUUUUUUUUCAGGGAACUGAAAUGCACUACUGGUACCUGCACGUGUCCCAAAAAAUCCCAAAUUAGACCCAGGUCCCCUUUCGGCCAAUAUCGCAAUUCCGGCACAGAGGUUCCGCCAUGCUCCGGCGAUGCUUGCGGCGGCGAUUCGACUCGGGUUAGCCAUUUUCGGCUGAAUUCGGCCACACUUACAUCGGUCCUUGCGAUAAAACAACCCUAGGGCCCUCGGGGGGCCAAAAAAUUACGAAAAACCGAAGCUUACCGGCGGCGGUGCUCUCGGGUGCGGCGGCUCUCCGGCGAGGUUCGUGUUUUGGUGAUUUGGCUCCGAUUAACCUGUAGAGAAAAGAAUGGUGAUCACGGUGAUAUAAAAAUUGUAUCAAACGGAGGCCGGGAAGGGCCUCAUCAAAGGCAAAAACCGAGGAGGGGCGCAGCAGCGCCGCUGAGUUUCGGCCAUGUUUUUUGGCCGUUUGGCCGGGAGUUUGGCCACAGGGGAACUCAGCAUUGAAAAACGAGCUGGGGGUAUGAAAUUUACCUCGAUCGGCGGUCGGAAAACUCCCCGGUGCGGCGGGGGGUGGCGACGACCGGCUCCUGCGACGUCUGGUUCGUCUUCUCCGGCAAGGGCUAGCGGCUAGGGUUUUUGUGGUCAGGUGUGGGGGGUUUAUUUAUACCCUUUGCCUUUUAAUCACAGUCGUCCAUCUUGAUUUAAUCUGGGCCGUUCGAUCGCGAUUUAAUUUGGAUUAAAUCUGGGCCGUCCGUACUUGAUUGAAUAUGGGCCGUCCGUGCGCGUGCAUCUGGGCCGUCCGUGCGCGUGCAUCUGGGCCGUCCGUGCGCGCAGGGACGCAUCUGGGCGGUCCGAUCGCGCGCACGCGGAUCGCCCACAUGGCCCGUUCCCGGGUCGGCGUGGUCUUGCCACGCGGCAGGUCCUGGUUGGCCAGGGCUGCUGACAGGGCCGCUGACGUGGCUGCUGACGUGGCGCUGACGGGGCACAACUUUUCUAAAUUACGUUUUAACCCCCGGUUUUCGAUUUUCUUUUCAAAAAUACCCCCAGAAUCUAAAUUUUUACUCCUUUUUCCCAAAAUCAAUUU
rnacentral:lncRNA from 1 species